rnacentral:rRNA from 1 species
CCUACGGGAGGCAGCAGUCGAGAAUCAUUCACAAUGGGGGAAACCCUGAUGGUGCGACGCCGCGUGGGGGAAUGAAGGUCUUCGGAUUGUAAACCCCUGUCAUGUGGGAGCAAAUUAAAAAGAUAGUACCACAAGAGGAAGAGACGGCUAACUCUGUGCCAGCAGCCGCGGUAAUACAGAGGGCUCAAGCGUUGUUCGGAAUCACUGGGCGUAAAGCGUGCGUAGGCUGUUUCUUAAGUCGUGUGUGAAAGGCGCGGGCUCAACCCGCGGACGGCACAUGAUACUGCGAGACUAGAGUAAGGGAGGGGGAACCGGAAUUCUCGGUGUAGCAGUGAAAUGCGUAGAUAUCGAGAGGAACACUCGUGGCGAAGGCGGGUUCCUGGACAUUAACUGACGCUGAGGCACGAAGGCCAGGGGAGCGAAAGGGAUUAGAUACCCCUGUAGUC